GAUGAAGAACGUAGCGAAAUGCGAUAAGUAAUGUGAAUUGCAGAAUUCAGUGAAUCAUCGAAUCUUUGAACGCACAUUGCGCCCGUCAGUAUUCUGGCGGGCAUGCCUGUUCGAGCGUCAUUUCAACCCUCAAGCCCCAGCGGCCUGGUGUUGGGGACCGGCGACCUCGCCCGAGCCCGCCCUCCGGGGCGCGUGCCCGGUGCGUCCGCCGCCCCCGAAAUGAAUUGGCGGCCUCGUCGCGGCCUCCUCUGCGUAGUAGCACAACCUCGCAAGCGGGAGCGCGACGCGGCCACUGCCGUAAAACGCCCAACUUUUUUAGAGUUGACCUCGGAUCAGGUAGGAAUACCCGCUGAACUUAAGCAUAUCAAUAAGCGGAGGA
rnacentral:misc_RNA from 1 species